AAAAAAAAUUGCUAAACAGAUGGGUACAAAGGAUGGGUACAAUUUGAAAAAAAUAAAAGAUGGGUACAUACGUGGAAAAUCAUUCACCAAUCAAAGUUCCACGUUGGAAACGUAAUUGUCAGAGUGGAUGAGAAGUCAAUUGCCUCCCAUCAUUAUACCACUAAUCGCAUUUGCUAAGCUAAGCUUUUUCUUUCUUUUUUCCAAUAUUGCUACUUCCCCUUCAUGUCUUAUCAUCUUCUUCCUCUUUGCAAGCAACUUUCUUUCUCGCUUUCAUCUUAAAGAAUCUUAUACACUGUAUACUCCAUUUAAAUGGUGCAUUUUUUGGAUCUGUAAAAGCCAUUGAGCUGGUGCUUACCGGUGCUCUUGUGUUUUACUUUCAUCAUAUAUGUGUUGUGCCUGAAGUUUUCUGGAACUUUGUUUCCAUUUCUUGGUACUGAAGCUAAAACCUAGUGGACAUUUGAUUGGAAUUUUUGGAGUCCGAAUCUGCAGAAGUGUCAGAAGUAUUCAAGGUUGUCACCUCCUCAACAAUGCAUGUAGGGCCCAUGUAGAUCACAUUAUGUAUUUUGUAUACAAAAAUAUUUCGUAUAUUGUAAUGUAAACUAAGAAUUUGUAAGUAAUAUUUAUGUGAUGUGAAUUAAUAGAUUGAUUAGUUCAUAUGUAAUUAAUUUAUAUAUCAUGUAAAUUAUGAAAUUAUGUAAAUUAAUGAAAUUUGAAAAUUUUGCUUA